GUAGGUGGCAAGCGUUGUCCGGGAAUUAGUUGGGCGUAAAGCGCGCGCAGGCGGUUCGUUUAAGUCUGAUGUGAAAGCCCACGGGCUCAACCGUGGAGGUCAUUGGAAACUGGAGAACGUUGAGUACAGAAGAGGAAAGCGGAAUUCCACGUGUAGCGGUAGAAAUGCGUAGAGAUGUGGAGGAACACCAGUGGCGAAGGCGGCUUUCUGGUCUGUAACUGGCGCUGAGGCGCGAAAGCGUGGGGAGCAAACAGGAUUAGAUACCCUGGUAGUCCACGCCGUAAACGAUGAGUGCUAAGCGUUAGGGGGUUUCCGCCCCUUAGUGCUGCAGCUAACGCAUUAAGCACUCCGCCUGGGGGAGUACGGCCGCAAAGGCUG
rnacentral:rRNA from 1 species